rnacentral:lncRNA from 1 species
UAUUAAUUUUGAUUUGGAAACUUCUUAUCUUUGGGUUUGUUCGUACUUUUCCCUUUUCCUUUGAAAAUAAUAAAAGUGCGGCGACGACUCUAGUUUUAUUGAUGUUAAGCUUAUCCAUAACUUGAUGGUCAUAAAUUUACCGCUACAUAGAUCUACCAGCUUCCUUCAGAGAAGGGAAGAAUAUGAGGACAGUGAAUGUAAAUUUCCUCGUAGUUCCUUAUGAAAACGCCUAUAGUGGCCUUCUUCGAAGAUCAUUCA